rnacentral:lncRNA from 1 species
AACUUAAUGGCUAAGUGCAGCAGAGAGACAUCUUUUGUAGCUUAACAAAAAGAAUGGAUAUCUACAGAGAUGGUCAUGUAACAUAUAAUUUGAAGCUUAAAAGCCAUCAAACGAACUUUGAUGGUAUCGUUCAGAUAGCCAUGCGUUGUUAUAAGAUAUCAGAAAUCUGCAAAACUAAAGUACAUUGUAAGCCUAUCAUCAAUACAGAACAAAGUUUAUCGCUUGAUCGAGAAGAAACCUGAAGCUAAGCAAGAUGUUAUACGCACCGAUGGAGCUGCAUCUUGCUUAGUGAGUUUAAGCAUCUCUCUGUCGAACACUACAAAAGUGGCAUUGUCAUUUCCAUCAUCAACUGAUAAUUCAACAUGGUACCUGUAACAAAGGGUGACCUCAGUGAUCGCAUUGACAAAAACAGUCUAAUAAUCAUAGAUUUUACUUAGGGCAAAUCUCCAAAAUAGCACCUUUCUAAGUUUAUAUCACAAAAAUAGCACUCAAAAACUAAAAUGACCAAAAUAACACCUUUUUAAGUUUAUCCUUUGAAAAUUUUAAUUUUUUUAUUUU